GGAUGUGAGGGCCAUCUGGCUGUGACAUCUGUCACCCCAUUGAUGGCCAGGGUUGAUUUGGCUGAUCUGGCUGGCUAGGCGUGUGUCCCGUUCCUCCCUCACCACUCCAUGUGUGUCCUUCCUGAAGCUGCUUGCUCGAAGAGGACGACCACCCCCGUUUCCUUAGUCAAAGGUAUACAAGAAGCUGCGCUCCCUUGCUAGAAUCUCCAAACAAGCUCUCAAAUGAGAUUUCAAAAUUUCAUAGAAAAUCACCACCCAAAUUAGGCUGU
rnacentral:snRNA from 1 species